rnacentral:lncRNA from 1 species
UAUGUAGCAAUGAAAGCUUCGUCUCCCAGUCAACGCAUGUGAAAAUCACUUUGCCACCAAGACGUCAGAAUAACUUCCACCUUGAAAACACCAGAUUUUUCGUUAAAAUCGCACUACCGCACUGAAAAAUAUCACAAGACGCCACAGCUGAACAUCCGGAUACAGAAAAUCGGCACUUUUGCACAGAAAAAUGAAAACUUUUCGCUUUUUGUUGCAAUUCAAAAGAAGCUCAUCAACAAACGACUAAGGCGACGAAAUGACGGAGAAGUUGACAUAACUUUGACAGAUUUCGAGUGGAAAAGAAACAGUCAGUAUUAGUGAAAACUCAAGAACAAACUGAAUUAAGCCCCUUGUUGACUGGCGCCAGUAAACUGCGUUCCAUUACGACUGUGUUCAACAAUGUAACGCCUCCUGUUUUCUAUGGAAAUCGACCGAUAAUUCAGGUAGCGUAACAACGAGAGCCUUUAAACGAUUUGGGUAAAAUACCGGUAUAACACUAUUUAUGUGUUUGGCGACGUUCAUAAAUGUGAAUAUUCAAUUCAAAGGAUGGGAAGAGGAACCGGCUUAGGUAGCCUAAAUUAAGAUGUGGGUUUCUAGGCCUUACAUCAUCUGAAUCUUGAACGUUAUUUAUGGAUGGAUGGAAGGCGCAAACUGUUGACCACGUUAAGUUCAAUAUCCGUCCAGCUAAAGUUUAAUGCUUAAUUUAGUUAGUAGUAGUGUUCCUAGCUGCCCAUACAAUAAGGCGCUCAUCCAGCAACGAUUAUUUUAUAUAAAAAGUACUUACAAACUUAAAAAAUAAAAAAUCAAACGCC